rnacentral:rRNA from 1 species
UACGGAGGAUCCGAGCGUUAUCCGGAUUUAUUGGGUUUAAAGGGUGCGCAGGCGGGAGACUAAGUCGGUGGUGAAAUUUUGCAGCUCAACUGUAACAGUGCCAUUGAUACUGGUUUUCUUGAGUGUGGAUGAAGUAGGCGGAAUUUGUGGUGUAGCGGUGAAAUGCAUAGAUAUCACGAGGAACCCCGAUCGCGUAGGCAGCUUACUAAACCAUAACUGACGCUCAUGCACGAAGGCGUGGGGAUCAAACAGGAUUAGAUA